rnacentral:rRNA from 1 species
UACGUAUGGAGCAAGCGUUAUCCGGAUUUACUGGGCGUAAAGGGAGCGUAGGCGGCCUGCCAAGUCUGAUGUGAAAAUCCGGGGCCCAACCCCGGAACUGCAUUGGAAACUGUAUUUCUAGAGUGUCGGAGAGGCAAGUGGAAUUCCUGGUGUAGCGGUGAAAUGCGUAGAUAUCAGGAGGAACACCAGUGGCGAAGGCGGCUUGCUGGACGAUGACUGACGUUGAGGCUCGAAAGCGUGGGGAGCAAACAGG